UUGUAAAUCCAACUCUAAAUUACAUUGCAUCUGUCAAAAUCCUAACUAGGCAGCACUCAAUUUCGAGGCCUUUUUAGCAGUUGCCUACUGAAUGUGGUGCCCAAAAGAAAAUGACUUGGAUAAUGAAUUUUCUGGGAAGUAUUGGUGAUUUGGAGAUACCCAGUGAUGUUUUGUCGUCAAUGAGACAAGCAAGGGCAGUGCCUCGCGAAGUCAAAUACCUGAAAGGCAGGCUGUGGAUUUGCGUAGACAUAUGCUCAUGAGAUGCUCAGAGAGUCACUUCUUUGCUAUGUUUUUUUUUUUAACAAAAGCAGAGAAAUAGAGGGUGGAGAGGGUGAAUUGUUGAAAAACUCGGAGUGAAAAUCAAUGAUCAACCUUUAUUACUCGAUGUAUUUUAAUUAUUUUUUGGAUUUCUGUA